rnacentral:rRNA from 1 species
UACGUAGGGUGCAAGCGUUGUCCGGAAUCAUUGGGCGUAAAGCGCGUGUAGGCGGUUCGGUAAGUCCGCUGUGAAAGUCGGGGGGCUCAACCCUCGAAAGCCGGUGGAUACUGCCGGACUAGAGUUCGGAAGAGGCGAGUGGAAUUCCCGGUGUAGCGGUGAAAUGCGCAGAUAUCGGGAGGAACACCGGUGGCGAAGGCGGGUCUCUGGGCCGUAACUGACGCUGAGGAGCGAAAGCGUGGGGAGCGAACAGG